rnacentral:snRNA from 1 species
AUGCCUACUUUGGCAGCACAUAUACUAAAACUGGAACAAUACAGAGAAGAUUAGCACAGCCCCUGUGCAAGGAUGACAUGAAAAUUUGUAAAAUGUUCCAUAUUAAA